UAACUGAUACUGACGAGCUUGCUCUGAUUGUGAUUUUAUCUGACAAAGAGUGGCGAACGGGUGAGUAACACGUGGGUAACCUACCUCUUAGCAGGGGAUAACAUUUGGAAACAAGUGCUAAUACCGUAUAAUACCAACAACCGCAUGGUUGUUGGUUGAAAGAUGGUUCUGCUAUCACUAAGAGAUGGACCCGCGGUGCAUUAGCUAGUUGGUAAGGUAACGGCUUACCAAGGCAAUGAUGCAUAGCCGAGUUGAGAGACUGAUCGGCCACAAUGGGACUGAGACACGGCCCAUACUCCUACGGGAGGCAGCAGUAGGGAAUCUUCCACAAUGGGCGCAAGCCUGAUGGAGCAACGCCGCGUGUGUGAUGAAGGGUUUCGGCUCGUAAAACACUGUUAUAAGAGAAGAACGGCACUGAGAGUAACUGUUCAGUGUGUGACGGUAUCUUACCAGAAAGGAACGGCUAAAUACGUGCCAGCAGCCGCGGUAAUACGUAUGUUCCAAGCGUUAUCCGGAUUUAUUGGGCGUAAAGCGAGCGCAGACGGUUAUUUAAGUCUGAAGUGAAAGCCCUCAGCUCAACUGAGGAAUGGCUUUGGAAACUGGAUGACUUGAGUGCAGUAGAGGAAAGUGGAACUCCAUUGGUAGCCGC
rnacentral:rRNA from 1 species